GCGGAGGGAGGAGCUAACAGGUGCCGAGUGGGAAGCUCUGGGGAACAGUUACAAGGAGGAACAUUUCAGUUUAGUGCAAGACUCAUCCUCCCCACAGCUGAUGCACAAUGGGAGUGGGCCAAGCAGGAGCUGCGGAGAUGGCUCAGCAGUUAAAAGCACUGGCUGCUCUUGCAGAGGACACACAUUCGAUUCCCAGCACCCACAUGGUGGCUCACGAAUAUUUGUAAUUCCAGUUUCAGGCAAUCUAACCCCAUCUUCUGACCUCCAUAGGCUCCAGGCAUGCCCAUGGUGCACAGACAUAAAUACGGACAGGUGAAGCAUACAUAAAAUAGACAAAUCUAAAAACGAUGUUUUAAGAAAUGAAAAGUAAACGGCAAGCAAGUCUCCAUCAACAGAAGAAAGCUAUCAAGCUACCUACCACAGGGAUAAUUGGGAGGAGAUAAGGGUCUGAGCCCCAGGUCACCCUUCCCAUCUCUGAGCUGCUGUUCCUCUAGAACUUCACAGCAGUGGCUAAUGAUUAUAUUUUUUUCAGGUGAUAACUUUGUACCUUAUUUCAUGUACUAUAAAUCCCACCUUUACUGCCAUUAAAUUAGUCUAUGCCAUCACCCAUGGAGUAAAUGAGCCAGAGGGACUCUUAAACUGGAGCCUUCCUCUGAUGCACAGUCCAGGACAGGUAUGGGGUAGCACUCUGAGGUAGUGUCCCUGCUCAGGAAAUUGAUUAUCUCCACUUCACGCCAAGGUAUCAUGGGGUCACCCAGCCAAACACUUCUGUGGGCACGAUGUCACAACCUCCAGCACUAUUAAGACACUUGGCAAAGGAGACACUGAAGGUCCUUAACUGCUGUGCUCCUAGGUUCUGGUGUGGGCACCGGAUCCUAACUCCCUCAGGAGCAGGACCAUACACCACUGUCCAGGGCUGUGGGGGUGUCGGGUCGGUAUCAGGGUCUUGGAGUGUAAACAACCCCUCCACCCUGUCAAGGCAUUUUCAAGUGGGAAGAGAACUCUGCCUGGAGGAUCAUCUCAGAAUUCCUCUGCGAGUCCUGGGGUUCCUGCCCUCCCUCACUGCAUUGGGAAGGAGAAAUAGAACCCUAAACAGAGCUUGGCCUUACUGCCUUCCUCACCUGUGAUGGAACAGGUGCAGGGUGAUACCCCCGCACCCCAAAGCAUAGAAUGGAGAAGACCUAAAUUUCUAGGACUGGGGAUACUUGCCUAGCAUGUUAUAGGCCUUGGGGUCAAUCCCAGCACCUAAAAGCAGUAAAACGAAUGUCCAAGUUUCUGGGAGUGUUUGGUGUUUUUGCUUUUGUUUUUCCAAAUGACAGUGUACCGGACCCCUUGAGGUUCCAAAUGAAAGCCACAAGAAAGUCAUGUACAGAUAGGACUGCUUUUAGAGAGUAGGGCAUGGGAGGUAGAGAGCCGCGCUGGCAGACCCUCGAAGUCCAACGGCAGCACCCCAAGACCAAGUGAUGUGGAUUCAGAUCGCCAGGCUGAAAGGCUGCGCGGUGUAGGGCGCGAGGAGCCUUUAGCACUAGCUGGCGGGUCGCGCUCCCGGGUGAAUUAACCAACGUGGGGCCCCCAGGAACGUGAAGCGAGGCGGGGCGGUCCCGGCGGCGGGACACGUGCGUCCGCGACGCCCCGGACCUCCAGGCGUCCCCGCGCUGGCCGAGGGCGGGGCAGCCGCGCGGCGCUCCCCUCCUCUCCUCUCCUCCCCGCCCGGCCUCCGGUUGGCCGCGGCACUCGGCCCUGGGCUCGCUGCGAGCUGCCGGCCGAGCCAUGGGCUGCGACGGCCGGGUGUCUGAGCUGCUCCGCCGCAACCUACAGCCCACGCUCACCUACUGGAGCGUCUUCUUCAGCUUCGGCCUGUGCAUCGCCUUCCUGGGGCCCACGCUUCUGGACCUGCGCUGCCAGACGCACAGCUCGUUGCCCCAGAUCUCCUGGGUCUUCUUCUCGCAGCAGCUCUGCCUCCUGCUGGGCAGCGCCCUCGGGGGUGUCUUCAAGAGGACCCUGGCCCAGUCGUUAUGGGCCCUCUUCACCUCUACCCUGGUCAUCUCCCUGGUUUUUGCUGUCAUCCCCUUCUGCCAUGACGUGAAGGUAUUGGCCUCGGUCAUAGCGCUGGCGGGCCUGGCCAUGGGCUGCAUCGACACCGUGGCCAACAUGCAGUUGGUGAGGAUAUACCAGAAGGACUCAGCCUUCUUCCUUCAGGUCCUUCAUUUCUUCGUGGGCCUUGGUGCUCUGCUGAGCCCCCUGAUUGCGGACCCCUUCCUGUCAGAGGCCAACUGCUUUCCUGCUAAUAACACAGCCAAUGCCACCUCCAGAAGCCAUGGAUCCCGGGUCCUGAGCCAACAUCACGCAGCAGCCCAGCCUUGGAUAAACCAGACGAUCCCCAGGCUGCCCCCAAAGGAGGUGACCGAGAACCACGUAUCCUAUGCCUUCUGGAUCAUGGCUCUCAUCAAUCUCCCAGUGCCCCUGGCUGUUCUGUUCCUGCUGUCCAAGGAGCGGCUGCUGACCUGCGCUCAGAGGAAGCCACUGCUCCUGUCUGCGGAUGAGCUUGCACUGGAGACCCGGCCUGCUGAGAAGGAAGACACCUCCUCACUUGCCCCCAAGUUUCAGCCACACUCAGGGCGCUUAUUCGGCCUUUGUGUACAGCUAUGCUGUGGAGAAGCCGCUCUCUAUUGGACACAAGUCAGCUGGUUACCUCCCUAGCCUCUUCUGGGGUUUCAUCACUCUGGGCAGGUUCAUCUCCAUCCCAGUCUCCUCAAGAAUGAGGCCAGCCACCAUGGUGUUCAUCAAUGUGGUGGGAGUGGUGGUGACCUUCCUGAUGCUGCUUAUCUUCUCCUACAAUGUCAUCUUCCUGUUUGUGGGGACCGCAAGCCUGGGGCUGUUUCUCAGUAGCACCUUCCCCAGUAUGCUGGCCUACACCGAGGACAUCCUCCAGUAUAAAGGUUGUGCGACCACAGUGCUGGUGACUGGGGCAGGCAUUGGCGAGAUGGUCCUGCAGAUGCUGGUUGGCUUGAUCUUUCAGGCCCAGGGCAGUUACAGUUUCCUGGUCUGUGGUGUGAUCUUUGGCUGCCUGGCUUUUAUCUUCUACAUCUUGCUCCUGUUUUUCCACAGGAUACACCCUGAACUCUCAUCAGUUCUUACCCAAGACAAAGCCCUUGGUGUGGAGAACCCUGAGUGCUACCAGAGGUGAAGAGCUGAAGAGCUCAGCUCCUGAGCCACAGGGUGACCAGACUGACACAGGAAGCCAGGGUUGCACAGGAGGCUGCUCUUGCUUGUGUCUUCCUUCCCUGAGUCUUCCCUGGACAAAUCGAGCACCUGCCUGACACUUUAGUUAUCUUCCUCUCUGGUCCGGACUUGUUGUCCUGACAACCAGACAGGAGGAUGAAAGACAGCCCGCACACACCUCUCCACACACCACCCCACGCAUGGGCUAAACUCUGGGUUUGAGAUCACGUUUAGUUGAAGUUUGAAAAACAUGCUAAAAUCCUAAGUCAUUAACCACUGCUAGGUGUAGAUAUAUUUUAAAUCAAUCAAGCCCCUCUGGCAUGUUAAAAAAGAUUUAUGUGUUCUUCACUUACCCAUGGUCCCAAGUCCCUCACAUCCGUCCUGCAGAAAUCAGUUUAUUUGUGUCCUAAGACAACAAAGGAAAUGUUGAAUCUUGCUUUGAGACCCUAGUCAGUGUUGCAUUGGGCUAACUCAGACAAGCUUUAGAAAGUUGACUGUUAAAUUUUCAUUUUGAGAGCUAGUAGGCAUGACAAAGACUUAAAUUAUUAUUUUUAUUAUUAUUGAGAUGGUAUUUCUCUGGGUAGCCCCAGCUGUCCCAGAACACAUUCUGUAGACCAGGCUAUCCUGGAAUUCACUCUAUAGACCAGGCUAGCCUCAAACUCACAAAGAUCCUCCUGCCUCUGCCUCUCAAGUGCUGGGAUUAAAGGUGUGUACUGCCACUACCUAGCUUUAAAAAAAAAAAAAAAAUUGUAACUAAACAAAGGUAAUUCUCCAAACCUCACUUUCUAAUUUUACAUGGCAGAUGCUCCUGAGCCCAAGAAGCAGCUCAGAUGCUGCUCAGGAGUGUCCAUGGCACCAAGGUGGUGACAUUUCUGUGACAGAAUACUGCUGGGCUCCUCCUCUCAGAUCUCUGUGACAGCCUGCUGGUAGUCCAAGGUCAGCCAUGGCCCAGAAAUGGUGAAAGCCGUGCCCCUGGGAACAGAUGGGUUUCCAGCGUCUUUCUGCUAACGAGCAAUGCUAGUUGGUUCAGAAAGUGCAGGGAGAAUGAAAUGGACAGUCUGUUGUUCUUUACUGAGAUCCUCAAGGUACAGAAGAAUUUUUUUUAAAAAAAUAGCUCAUUUGGUAUUUUAUACCUUUUAUAGAUGAAAAUUUUAUACUGUGUCAAGGCCCUCCCUCCCUCCCAUAUAAAUCUAGGACUACUAUAUAAUUCAAGCCAUGCAGUAUACAGAGAGCAGUGUCAGUAUGCAGAAACCAGUGUCUGUCAGGAGUGCCCUCUUCUAUACAGAAGGUAGGUUAGUAAUCCAGAGAAUACAAGAAGGCGGCUCACCAGCCCGGGCAGGGCUGGGUGCAAGGCUUCUGGCAUCAGCGACAUGACAUGAUUUGUCUCUGGGAAGUCUCUAGGAGGAACAAAUGUCCUGUUACAGUCAUUGGUUUAAUCUGUACAUUCUCUGUGCAUAUACAUGUGUUCAUGUGAGCAUGGACUCAUGGUCCCAAGGGCUGUAGUUCACACACUAGACACCAGCAGAGCAGAGGUGGGCCAGGUUAUCAGCCUUCUAGCUGUGACUCCAGAAGCCCCCCAUCCCCCACCUCCAGCCUUGCUUGUUUUUACCAGUAUGAUGGCAUUUCUAAAAGCACCCUACCUCACAGGAAUUCUGAGAGAACUGAGAGUGUGUGGAGCAUCUGCUGCAUGCCCUACAUGGGACCUGCCUUCCAAAUGUUCAUGGUUUUACUUCUAUUCUUUGUAACACCUCAUACGCAGCUUAGACGUCAUCUCCAUUUGGUACAAACUUUAAGUCAAAUUUAACUUUGAAACGCCGAUGGCCUAAGCAAAUCCUUUUAACUAUAUUUAUAAAUUCAUUGAAAAGUACCUCAUACUAGCCAUAUUAAAAUCUAGCUGGGCAAUCUAACUAUGGUGACUGACCUGGGCAAAGAGAAAGUGGUUGUAUUUUUCUUGUAGUUUUUUUUUCAAGAAAACAUCCUUUUUAUACAGAUCUAGAAAGAAGAAUCACUGCUUAUACCUACAUUGGUGAUGAUUGAUGUGUUAAUAUAGAAAACUCAAAAGAAUCUCAUACUUUCCUAAAAUAAAAUAUUUUAAACCUAGUAAGUGUGUUAUCCAUCUUGAAGGGCAGUCGACCCUUUAUACUGAAGAUCAAAUGGUCUAACGCUCCCCAAAGACAGGUCUCUCUUAGAGGUUCACGUGACGCACAUGCACACACUCUUGUGCACACACACACACACAAACACACACACACACACACACACCCAAUAUAAGAUACACACAUGACAACUAUGUAUGUAUGUAUGUAUGUAUGUAUGUAUGUAUGUAUGUUAUGUAUGUGUAUAUGUAUGUAUGUAUAUAUGUACACCUUUGGAACUUGGGGCAGGGCUAGGGGUGGUACCUGGGGUUUCAAGCAUUCUAGGCAAGACUCACCACUAAGCCACACUUCUAGCUAUCAAGAGUGUUGUAAAAAAACAAAACAAAACAAAAAAAAAUAAAUAAAAAAAAUAAAAAGAAAAAAAAAAAAAGAAAAAAGCCGGGCAGUGGUGGCGCACGCCUUUAAUCCCAGCACUCGGGAGGCAGAGGCAGGCGGAUUUCUGAGUUCGAGACCAGCCUGGUCUACAAAGUGAGUUCCAGGACAGCCAGGGCUAUACAGAGAAACUCUGUCUCGAAAACAAAACAAAACAAAACAAAACAAGAGUGUUGUGAUGUCUCCCUGUUCCCAGAUUCCUUCUGCAGACUUGGGGAUCUAAGCCACCAGCAUACCUUGCACACAUUUAAAGGAAGGUAUAGUGACACAAAGGGUUCAUUUGUUUUGUUGUUAUUCAUUCGUUUUGUCUUUUUGAAAUGGGUUUUACAUUGCCCAAGGUAGACUAGAUGCCAUGUAGUUCAGAUGAUCUUGGACUCCCGAUUUUCCUAUUUCCACACCCCAGGUGCUAGGAUGACAAGCAUGCAGCACCAAGGCCAGCCUGUGUGCACCUGGGGAUCCACUUUAGAGUACACCAGGGAGGCAAGCACUCUACCCAUGAGCGAUAGCCUCAGCUCACAAGUUUCUUACAGAGAUUGCGUUUACACAUUAAAAAAAAAAAGAUCAAACAGCCACCAUGUUCAAAGCAGAGGCUCAGGUACAGUUUCAGCAAUGAAUGAGAAGUCCCUGCCUCACAGAGACUUCAAGGUCAAAGCCAUAGAAACAGCAAGUAAAUAUAUAACAUGUUAUAGGAUGAUAGAGUACUGUAAGAAGCAGCAGGGGUGGGCGUGGGAACGGCAGAUGUUCGGGCUAUCUUAACAAGAGGACAUGUGCUACACAGGAGAAAGCCAGGCGGGUGGGUACCUGAGAAUAUUCCUGCCAGGUAGAGGCUACAGCAAGGGGAAGGGCCUUGAACUGGAAUGUUCCAUAGAAUCUGAGGAGCAGCUGGCAGACUGGUCUGGACAAACUGCAAAGCAGGCAGACAGUGGCAAGAAACAGGGUGGCAUGAAUGUGGAUUUUUCUGGGGGAUGUGAGCUUACCAACAGACUGUCACAUGGCACGGUUCACACAUUUAAAACCGUUACUCUGGCUGUUUGAAGACAGUGGGGCUGAGGUAGGCUCAGAUACACUGCAGGGCUGGAGAGGUGACAGUGACUUGGACCAUGCUGGAAGCAGUGGAAAUGGUGAGGGCGAAUUCAGUUGGAAGGUCUGUCAGAAUUUGCUGAUGGACUGAGUAUAAGAGAAGGGUGCCAGUCUCAAGCUGAAGGCAUCUGACCUAUGCCCAGGUGUGAGGCAUUUUGAGGUAGGCAAGCACAGGGAAGACUCUACUUGGCUAUACAUACAGUACUUAACAAGCUGAGACCCUGCCAACAUCAGGCUGCACACCCCUUCUUAAAUAAAGCAACUGGUAACUCUAACCUGGAGCGCCCUAGCCAUCCUUAGUAACUUCCCUUCUGUGGCCAAACACAUCCUGAAACACCUUGGGAUCUGGAAAUGUGGGCUCAUCCAGCCUAAACUGGUUUGGGGAACAUAGACAAUAAGGCAAACUAUGCCCUACAAAUGAAGUCUUAGGGAAAAACCCUACUUACCACCGUGCCUAUGCAUGAUUGAACGAAUAUGAUGAAGAUCAGAUGUAUCAUGGGAAAGGACAUGUGAAGUAAACUCAGGUUUAUGUAACUCAUACAUGUUAUUCCAUGCCUGUAGAGGUCAGGGGACAACUUGAGGUGUUGGCCCCUGCCUUUCCAUCUUGUCUGAGAAGAGUUCUUCGCUGCUGCACAGCCAAGCUCACUUCUGGUGGAUUCUUCUGUUUCGCCCUCCCAUCUUUGGGAAGAGCAGCUGUUCCCAACCUAUGGGUACACUGUAGCUCUCUUCAGACACACCAGAAGAGGGCAACAGAUCUCAUUACAGACGGUUGUGAGCCACCAUGUGGUUGCUGGGAAUUGAACUCAGGACCUCUGGAAGAGCAGUCAGUGCUCUUAACUGAGCCAUCUUGCAAGCCUGAGGCCAUAUCUUUAAAAAAAACAGUUCUGCACAUCAGUAUAUGAUGCUAUCCUGGAUAUCAAGCCAGCUGCUAGACUUGGUAGCCAGAGUUUAAAGAGAAGUUAUAUAGCUUACAGUGUUCAGAGACAAGGAAUGAAAUCUCCUAGUUAGUGGUUGCAGGGACUGAGAGAUCGAGCCUGGGGGUUCUUCAAAACCUAGGGGUUUAGAAAAAGAACUGAUGUAGUAAAAAAUUAGAAGCCAGAGGUAGGAACCCAUUCAACAGUCAAAGUGGCUUCCUGGAAGGUAUGGGAAGAGCAUCUUAAGAAGACAUCAGUGCUUGUGAGAGAUUAACAGGACUAACAAACACUGGGCUAGAUGGGAGAGGGGCUUAGGUAAAUGACCAGUGUGUUCAAAACAUAUGGGAACAACACUCACAAUCCAGUACCAUGGCUGCAUCUGCUAGGAACCUCCACAGCUGCUGAAGUCUUUACUUCUGUGACAGUUCUAUGACACAUCACUGUACUUCUGAGUGACUCCGAUGAAGUCACUUCAUGAUUCCUUCAGUGGCAGGUAUACUGUGAUGAUCAGAGUGUGAUCCUGGGACACUCAACAUUGUCUCCUACCUAAUAAAGCCCAAAGAGCCCAGUGUGAGGAUGGUGGCCAUUAGACGCCUCUAUGAAACACAGAUGGAAUGGUACCUGCAGUCAGUGCGCUUCGCCAAACUAGUGCCAACAGUUGGAAAGGCCGAAAUGGUGGCAGGCUUUUCCACCGAAGGACCUGGAGCUUUGGGUAUUCAAAAAUGCACUCUGUGACUGCAAAAAGCAAGACCAUAUUUCUCAGCUCCUCUAAGAUUAGUGUUCUUAGGUAAUGCAUUUGAGCAGAUUCCCAGGAAAGCCCUUCAUUGGCUCAACGGUGUGGUCAAGCACCAGCCAAAGAGACACUCCCAGGGCCUGUGUCCUGCCACCAGCCAUCUGGUAUGCUCUUGGUACUUUCAUCUGGAAUGAGCCUGCGCUCUCUGAUGUGAUCAGGCCACCCAUUAGGCCCACAUCCUCCAUCAUGUUCUAAGCCACUUCUAAAAACACUUCAUUUCACUGCUAAAUUAACUGGUCCUUUCUUUUCUUCUCCCAAGCUCUCCAAAGAAAGGGGGCUAGGGAGGCCAAGCAUUGUGGUAUGCAUCUGUAACGAGCACUCAGGAAGCUGAGGCAGGAAGACCACAAGGCUAUCAAGGUCCAGAGCAGCCAAAACUACACGAGACCCUUUCUGAAAACAUAAAAGGGGGCUGAAGUGGAAAUGAGCAAUGUGUUCAUCCCAAAAGCCUCGGUGAACACAUCUGAUUACAACUAACUGUAUGACAUUUGCAUAAAACACACACACACACAUACACACGCUGAGACACACACAUUUCAGGGCCAGUAAGAUGGCCCACAGAACAAAGGAGAUGCCACCAAGCCUUUGACUGAGUCUGAUCCCCAGGACACACGUGACAUAAGCCAAACACUGAUCCCCCAAAGCUGUCCCAAUUGCCAUGCAUGCACUGUGGCAAACCUGCACAUACACCCAGACACAACAUAAAUAAAUGUAGUACAACUUUAAAGAUUUCACAGUGUUUCCAGCCCAUCUGUCCUCUCUCCAUUCCUUCCACGCCGACAAUCAUUUCACCGUCGUCCCCUUCUUCUGAGCUGGCUUUAAGUGUUCCAUGAAGACAUAUCAAGCAGUUGAAGACUGCGUUUCAGGAUCCCCACUGAAUUCUUUCCUUACCCAGUUAGUGUGGAUGAAAAUAUCACUGACUGGUGAGCGAGGGGAAGGAAAUAAUCACUCCAAGUCAUUUUGUUAAAAAUAUUUAUUUUAAAAAAAUACAAUUGUUGUCCAUAUCUAGUUGCACGUCUCUAACGACAGAUCUCGACAGCUCUGGACUUGGAGUAAACCCGCCAGAGUGCGUUCUCAGAGCCAGCUUCCCACAUACAGGCAAAUCCCUCUGUCAGUUCUUACAUAGAAGUUUUAAAAACUGCAUCAUUUUCUUAAAAUACACAUGAUCUUUAUAGAAGUUACAACACUUUUACAUAAAGCUUAGAAGCAACAGAAGUAAGGUCCCCAGUUGGGCUACUCGGGGCAGUCCCUUGCCACAUCUGGAAAUGACACCCAGAGGACUGCCAUCUUUUCUUUGAACAGCAGUGCAUCAGAAAGCCCUCAAAGUGCUCAUGCGUCCUUUGCCCCAUCACCCUUAACUUCAUGACAUUUGUCACCCAAAGGCAGAAUUCCAGACUCUGCCCUGGCUUCACCAGCCUUAAACCAACAUCUCUUUGUCUCUACAAAAGUGCUACUGGGUAGCUAGUUGAGAUGACCAUUCUGUCCAGCUGUAAGAACAACUAAUGUUAAUUUUAAGGACUGUUAGCAGUUACCAUAUUAGUUGCUUUUUCAGAAAAGAACAAAAAGAGAUUGGAAUACUUUGCAGGUCUCCUUAGAGUAAACUAACCUAACCUGAGACAUAUCACUAGUGGCGCCCUGACAGUUACUCUUGUGGGCAGGUGUUGCUCGCACCUGUCUAACGACCUCAGUGGUGACACUGAGUAACAGGAGAUGCAGUUCAAUACAACACACAAGGAGGGCGCACACCCAGACAGCGGCUCCUCUGAGGGGCCGAGCACCCUAUCAGUCCUUUUUAUCAUCCACCCAAACUCAUACACAGGAACCCGCUCCCCUCUUCCUGUGCAGACAUCGGUGUACAGACACUCAAUCACUCCAUGGCAGACACAUGCUUUUACUAGAGAUUAACUGAAUGAGAAACAAGAGUUCGUUCUUUAAUGUUGUUUACCUUUUAAAUCAUGUUCGCGCCUUACAGUGCUUCAAUUGCCAGGUUCGCUGUGACUCAACCUCCUAGCACACAUGUAAAAUAACCCAUGGUUACUUCCCAUUCAUCACAAUUUUAUUUUCAUUUUUUUCCCCAAGACUGGGUCUUUUACCUCAGGCUGGCCCUGAACUUGCCAAGGAUGACACCUUGAACUUCUUGCUCAUCCUGCUUCUACACACCUAGCUGGAGGAUACCAGGUUUGAGCCGUACUCCUGGUUUAUGUAGUAAUGGGACUCAAACCUCGGGCUAGUAUGCUAGGCAGGCACUCUACCACCAACCUAAAGAAAGAUCCAGUUUAGGAGGCUCUUUUUAAAAAAGAAGUUCUGAUAGGACUCAUGGGAAAUUAUUAGGUUGCUCUUAAAUGCAAACUUAAGCCAGAUGUGGUGGCACGUGCCUGUGGGCCCAGCUAGUAGGCAGGAGGUUGAUACCUGAAGAGACUGUUGUAACCAGCAGAUUAAAGCUGGUCUGAACAACACAAGACCCACCUCAUAAAAACAAAACCUACUUAAAGAAAAAGAAGGGGGAGGGGGUGUCAAUUUGAUUAAUUUGGUGAAUGAAGGGAAUAAUUCUAAAAAACUCGUCUUAACCCAAGAUUUUAUGUUUAGAAUCAGAGAUAAUCAGUAUCAAAAUGAACUAAAGCUUUUUUUAUUUAAAAAGGAAAGGAAAGGAAAGGAAAGGAAAGGAAAGGAAAGGAAAGGAAAGGAAAGGAAAGGAAAGGAAAGGAAAGGAAAGGAAAGGAAAGGAAAGGAAAGGAAAGGUGGUUUGUGUAGAUGAUAUAUGUGCAGAUGCCUGUGGUGGGCAGAAGAGGGCACUAGGCCCUUUAGCACUAGAACUGCAGGCAAUUUUGAGCCACCUGCCGUGGAUGCUGAGAACCAAACUCUGUCCCUCUAAGGAACACCAAGUGCUUUGAACCAGUGAAUCUCUUCAAUGUCUUUUUAGGCAGGCUCUCAUGUAGCUCAGGCUGGCCUCAAACUCACUCUGUAGCAGCCAAGAAUGACCGGGAACUCUGUAAUCCUCCUUCCUGCACCUUCCAGGCAUCAGGACUAUGGGCAGACACUACCAGUCCCACAGAGUCUUAUGUUUAGUCUUUCCGAUCCACAAAGAUACAGGGAACUGCCAGAAGCAAAGGGGAGAACCCCAGCCACACCUGGAAGCAGGCCUCUAGCACCAAGGGUCCUGUGUGUAUCUUUUGUAUAUGCAUAUAUAAUGCUCAACAGAGAGGCCUGAACCAUGCUAUUCUCUCUCAUAUGCAGCAAUGGCAGUGGCAAAUGUUGUCAGAGUCUACUGGUAAUACUGUCCUCAAGCAAACAAUGAAAUGUCUCAGAAGGGAUUGUGUCCCCUGUGUAACAGAAAUAAGCAACAAAGGAAAAUAACACUAAUUGUUAGCUAUUGUAUACUUUUCAAAUUUACAGUGCAAUCUAUCAA